rnacentral:rRNA from 1 species
UACAGAGGAGCCAAGCGUUGUCCGGAUUGACUGGGCGUAAAGCGCACGCAGGCGGAUGCGCGCGUGGGGUGUGAAAUCUGGCCGCUUAACGGCCAGGCGCCAUCCCAUACGGCGCGUCUGGAGUGAUGCAGAGGUCGAUGGAAUUGCCGGUGUAGUGGUGAAAUGCGUAGAGAUCGGCAGGAACACCCAGGGGGAAACCAGAUCGACUGGGCAGUCGACUGGAC